rnacentral:misc_RNA from 1 species
AUCAGGCCUAAGUGUGGCUAACCUGAUGGUUUUCUUCAUCGGACUAGCCAUCGCCAUUCUUCUGAUCAGACGAUUCUUCUUGUCUCGUAACUGGAAGUUUUACUAUGGUGUGUGAUCACAGCUGGUGUUCUAUAAAAGGCUUUAUUUGCAAUUUGUGAUAUUGAUCUGUUGAAGUGCUAAAAGCAUAUUGGUUGUUGAUAGUUUUGUAAAUAUUCACGAUAUAUAUAUUCAUUGAUAUAGCUGUACAUGUAUUUUAAAGAUGCUUUCAUCUGUUGCAAUGUAUGUGCAUGCAUGUAUUUACAGUAUUUAUUUUUAAUUUCAUGUACAUCUAAUAUUUUUCAAUGUAAAACCCAAUGCAAGAUGAUGGGUAGAAUAAUUUCAUAUUUAUUACAUGUAGAUUUUUUUGAGGGAAAACACAUUGCUUUACUGGUUAAUGUAAUGUUAGAAUAAAUUAUUGCAGG